UAGGACGCUUCCCACUCAAAUAUUCUACAAGAGGGAAUGGUCUUAGUUUGCAGUGCCAAUAUGAUCCAAUAUGUGAUGGGGUUAUGAGGUAGCAUUAAUUCAGCCAUUCUCCAAUCUGGAUGUAUUAAUAUUGAUGAAGCUAUAUAUAGAUACAGGGAAGAUUCAAUGUUUGCAGAGUUUAAUAGUUGUAAUAUGCAUCCCUAAAAUGAAUAAGUAAGUAAAU